rnacentral:rRNA from 1 species
UCAGGCGUGAAAGCCCAGGGCUCAACCCUGGAAUUGCGCUUGAUACUGCUUGGCUUGAGUGCGGGAGAGGGAAGGGGAAUUCCCAGUGUAGAGGUGAAAUUCGUAGAUAUUGGGAAGAACACCAGUGGCGAAGGCGGCUACCUGGUCCGGAUCUGACGCUGAGGCACGAAAGCCUGGGGAGCAAACAGGAUUAGAUACCCUGGUAGUCCACGCCGUAAACGAUGAAUGCUAGACGUCGGGAAAAUUGUUUCUCGGUGUCUGCCCUAACGCAUUAAACAUUCCCCCCGGGGGGAACGGCCGCAAGGUUAAAACUCACAGGAAUUGACGG